AAGUCGUAACAAGGUUUCCGUAGGUGAACCUGCGGAAGGAUCAUUAUCGAAAUAAUCCGAAGGGGGUAGAGAGUAGGCGAAGUUUGGAGAGCGCCUGAAGACUGUCGCUGGCCCCGGAAACGGGGCAUGUGCACGUCCCCAGCCUCGCCUUAGUCCUUGCUCUCGAACCUUUCGUAAAACCUUCACACCUGUGCACCUAUUGUAGGUCCUUCGGGAUCUAUGUCUUCAUCUCACACCGAUCGUAUGUCUAUAGAAUGUAUCUAAAACGUCGAUCGGCUUGGCUCGCGCCUCGUCGACGACGGUAAACUAUUACAACUUUCAGCAACGGAUCUCUUGGCUCUC
rnacentral:misc_RNA from 1 species